rnacentral:rRNA from 1 species
AUUGAACGCUGGCGGCAGGCCUAACACAUGCAAGUCGAGCGAGAGGCGGACGGGUGAGUAAUGUAUGGGGAACUGCCCGAUAGAGGGGGAUAACUACUGGAAACGGUGGCUAAUACCGCAUACUAUCGGAUGAACCCAUAUGGGAUUAGCUAGUAGGUGGGGUAAAGGCUAACCUAGGGGACGAUCCCUAGAUGGUCUGCGAGGAUGAUCAGCCAAACGGGAACUGAGACACGGCCCAGAAUCCAACGGGAGGCAGCAGGGGGGAAUAGUGUACAAUGGGCGCAAGGCUGAUGCAGCCAUGCCGCGUGUAUGAAGAAGGCCUUAGGGUUGUAAAGUAAUGUCAUCGGGGAGGCGUUACCCGCAGAAGAAGCACCGGCUAACUCCGUGCCAGCCGCCGCGGUAAUUC